rnacentral:rRNA from 1 species
AUGUUGGUUGGACCCUUGCCAACAAGCUUGCUAAGAUGCACAAGCCUGGUACGGUUUCGUCUUGAACGAAAUCAGCUCCAAGGAGAUAUCUCUGAGAUGGGGGUUUAUCCGAAUCUUGUGUACAUAGAUAUCAGCUCAAAUAAACUAUUUGGUCAACUAUCUCAUAGCUGGGGUGAGUGCCACGGACUUUCCAUGUUGCGCGCUUCAGAAAAUGGUAUCACUGGAGUCAUACCACCAAGCAUAGGGAAACUGUCUCAGUUGAGGAUACUUGAUGUUUCAUCAAAUAAACUCGAAGGACAUAUUCCUCCAGAAAUUGGCAAUAUAAUGACAUUAUUCAAUUUGAGCCUCGGCAACAACUUGCUCAGGGGAAGUAUACCGCAGGAAAUUGCGUCUCUAAAAAAUCUGGAGUAUUUGGAUUUAUCUUCGAACAACCUAAGUGGGCAGUUAGGGGGAUCAGUUGGGCAGUGCUUAAAGCUUCGCCUUCUGAAUUUGAGCCAUAAUCAACUCAAUGGUAGCAUUCCUAUGGAACUAGGGAUGCUGGUAAACCUGCAAGGAUUGUUAGAUCUGAGUGAAAAUUCAUUUAGUAGCAUGAUACCAACUCAGUUGGGUGAUCUUAGCAUGCUUGAAGCCUUGAAUCUUUCACAUAAUGCAUUAAGCGGCAGGAUUCCGCCAUCAUUUCAACGCAUGAACAGCCUCUUAUACAUGGACGUGUCUUAUAACAAACUUGAAGGGCCAGUGCCACAAAGCAGGCUCUUCAAAGAAGCUCCAACCGAAUGGUUCGUGCAUAAUACACAUUUAUGCGGUGAUGGUGUGAAAAAUCUGCCCCCUUGUGACCACACUUCAAGCUAUCAAAAAGGAAGGAAGCCUAGAGCUAUUUUACUAGCUAUAAUACCUGCCACUGUGACUUUUAUGCUCAUUACUGCACUAGCAACAUGGCAAUGUAAAAGGAAGAAAUCCAAGGCUGAAAGUGGAAAGGGACUGGAACAGGUCAAGAUGUUCGCCAUCUGGAACUUUGACGGGGAAGAUGUGUACAAGAAAAUUAUUGAGGCCACAAAAAGAUUCAGCGAUGCUCACUGCAUUGGAAGAGGAGGGAAUGGAUCUGUCUAUAUAGCCCAGUUACCAACAGGUGAAAUAUUUGCAAUAAAGAAGAUUCACACGAUGGAAGAUGACAAGCUAUUCCAUCGUGAAAUAGAUGCUUUGAUUCAUAUUUGGCAUCGCAACAUUGUGAAGUUAUUUGGCUACUGCGCUGCUGCUCAUCAGAGAUUCCUUGUGUAUGAAUAUAUGGAUAGGGGAAGCUUAGCGAAAUCUUUGCAGAGCAAGGAAACUGCAAUUGAGUUGGAUUGGACAAGAAGAUUAAAUAUCACUAAGGAUGUUGCAAAUGCUCUGUCCUACAUGCAUCAUGAUUGCUUUGCACCGAUAGUCCAUAGAGAUAUAACUAGCAGCAACAUUUUGCUUGAUAUGGAUUUCAGUGCCUGUAUUUCAGAUUUUGGUCUAGCAAAAAUACUAGAUGGAGAUGCAUCAAACUGUACAAGGCUUGCUGGGACGAACGGAUAUCUUGCCCCAGAGCUUGCGUACUCAACAAGGGUGACAGAGAAGUGUGAUGUCUAUAGCUUUGGAGUACUCAUGCUCGAGUUGUUCAUGGGACAUCAUCCAGGUGAUUUUCUUUCUUCCAUGGCCAACAGAAGUACAUCACUUGAGGAUUUGUUGGACAUCCGGCUCCCAUUCCCUGAAACUGAGAUCGCAAGUGAAAUAUUCAAAGUGAUCGUGUUUGCUGUUUGUUGCAUAGAACCAAAUCCAUCAUACCGACCAACGAUGCAACAAGCAAUCAAGGUGUUCUCUACAACUGAAAGACCUGAUGAUCAGCUUGAUUGUCUGCAAACUGACAUUGUCAUCCCUUCCACCUGGUCGUGA